GUUGACUCAUCCCGCGAUCUAAGUUCCGAUCUCGUUACACUUAGUAACUAGUGAAGAUCAAUUAGAAAGCUAAGGUGAGUCGGAUCGAUCCAUCGAGAUGUUCGAUCUGGGACCCGAAAAGGUUAUAAAAUCGGAAUUCCAAGAACACAGAGGGCUUCUCUCUUGUACUUCUGAAUGUGCCACCUCUUCCUCAAAAGGAUUAUUUUCAUUCCUUAAAUUAAUUAACUCGAAAUCGGAAUAAGCAUUUCCUCUUCUAACAUCCUAUAACAACGCCCCGAGAUCGUCGACUCCUGAAGUAAUAUCGAAGGACCUUCCUCUUAGGACUUUCGUCAUCUGAGAAAAGGGAACCUGAAGAUUAGACCUCCACCGACAGAUAAAAGUUGAAAAACAGACAACAUAAUGCCUCUAACACAGGACGAACGCAUCGAAAUCGUUCUGAUGGCAGGGGAGAAGAGUUCCAGGGUGAUUACAUAGGCCCGGACGAAGUUUGCCAAUCGAUGUAACACACAUAAAAACAAUACGUGACACAUUACCACGGGGUUAUUUUCACGUAUCGACAGGAGAAGGAAACAGGAAGUGCAAAAUCCAAGUUAGUGUGACGUA